rnacentral:lncRNA from 1 species
GUUUUGGAAAAUUUUGAUAUUUGAGUUGAUUGGGUUUUUAAGCACCAUGCCCUUUAAUCUGUAAGUAGAAACUCCUCUCCUUCUGUGUCAGUUUACAUUGGUUGCCCUUCUAUUUACUGAUCAGUCUAUGUACAGUAGUAAUAAUAAUUUUUUCAAUUAAAACUUACCAUAUUCUAAAUACUUACAAACCUUCUCUCUAAUUCCUGUAUUCAUAGGUCCAUUUUAGAGAUGUGGAAACUGAGGUUCAGAGACAUUAACUAACUUGCCCACAGUUAUACAGUCACUAAGUGAUGGAGCAGGAAUUCAAACUCAAUCUGUCUGAAUCUGAAGACCAUGCAUUUUUCCUAUCCCACUCAGCUUGUCUCUCUAUAAGCUUCUUAGCAAGGCUCUGAGAUCUCUUGGGACAGCCUCUUGUCUGUGUAAAGAGAUUCCUAGACUUCUGUAGAUGAAAUUUCCUGUGAUCUCUUUUGGAUAUCUAACAAUGAUAUUUGAAAAACAGAUACUAAGUCUUGGAGAGGUGAAAUAGUCACAAAUGGAAUUUCAAGAAACAUUCUAUCUAGGGAAAGGCCUCGGAUCAGGACAGCAGAGUCUCCUCAGACGAGAAGUGGUGCCCCUUGCAUACUGCUCAGAGAAUUCUCAGCAGCGCAGGUUCGUUUGACAUCUGGUAUUCACGAUUCCUGUGAGAGUGGCUUCCCCCUAAAUGUGCUCUGAAAGCAUUCCUGCUGUGCCCCUUCUGUCCAAGUAUAAACACAUUAUAGGAAAUGAACAAGUAAAGACCCAGCUUAUCCGGAAGGAAUGAAGGAACCCCUCACCCAGCUGGCCUGGGGUUUUUAUGUCCAGCUUCAGGAAAUUUUGCCAGCCACUGGGGUAGGGGCUGUUGUCUUGACACUUGGCACCUUAGUCCCUUUCCCAUUCUAAACUCCCCAGGUGCUGUCCA